UAGUGAAUGUCAGGCUUUGUAGUGUUGGUUGUGGAAACUUUGCCUAGCAUAUGGGAAGGGACAUCUAGAGAAAGAUCUGGGGAAGACCCUUGGGACUUCAGGGCACCCAGUAAAGCAGUCAGUUUCCAAGCAAAAGCCAGGCUAAAGGACAGAGUGAAAAAAACAGCCAGCCCUCUGCCUGUGCUGUUCAGACACCAGCCAUAAAGCAGGAAAAGGGUUUUCCAUUCCUCCAUCCCAUGGCAGUCUGUCCCAAGAGUACACUUAUGAGCAUCUACUGAGACAUGACUUCGUAUAUCCACAGUAACUCAGGAGCAGAAGUUCUGUCAAUUAGCACAGACAUUCUGUCUUGCUGUCCCAUAAGUAAAGCCUUUUACCUCUACAUAGCUGCCAUCUUUUGGUGUUGCUGGCUCCUUCCAGGAAUGUGUUUUCUGUUCUGCUCCACAUCCCAUAGCACAUUCCUCUGGUGCAGCAGUCUGCUAUGUUUUGCACAUAGAAAUGGGAUCCAGUGGCCUGGUGCAAACCAAAUCAUUCCCCUGAUUUCUCUUGCCAGGUCCUGUUUAUCCACCAGUGUUUGUUAGCUAGACCUUACUAUGUUCCAAGCGCUGUCAGCAGCUGGCAGGAAACACUGGCAAUAAAAGCAAUCCCCACAGCUCA